rnacentral:rRNA from 1 species
GACGGGACCCGCACAAGCGGUGGAUGAUGUGGUUUAAUUCGAUGCAACGCGAAAACCUUACCCACCUUUGACAUGUACGGAAGUUGCCAGAGAUGGCUUCGUGCUCGAAAGAGAGCCGUAACACAGGUGCUGCAUAGCUGUCGUCAGCUCGUGUCGUGAGAUGUUGGGUUAAGUCCCGCAACGAGCGCAACCCUUGUCAUUAGUUGCUACGAAAGGGCACUCUAAUGAGACUGCCGGUGACAAACCGGAGGAAGGUGGGGAUGACGUCAAGUCCUCAUGGCCCUUAUAGGUGGGGCUACACACGUCAUACAAUGGCUGGUACAAAGGGUUGCCAACCCGCGAGGGGGAGCCAAUCCCAUAAAGCCAGUCGUAGUCCGGAUCGCAGUCUGCAACUCGACUGCGUGAAGUCGGAAUCGCUAGUAAUCGUGGAUCAGCAUGUCACGGUGAAUACGUUCCCGGGUCUU